CCUACGGGAGGCAGCAGUGAGGAAUAUUGGUCAAUGGCCGGAAGUCUGAACCAGCCAAGCCGCGUGAAGGACGAAGGUGCCAAGCAUUGUAAACUUCUUUUGUCAAGGGACAAAAUCAGGCUCGAGAGCCUGACCGAGGGUACUUGAAGAAAAAGCAUCGGCUAACUCCGUGCCAGCAGCCGCGGUAAUACGGAGGAUGCGAGCGUUAUCCGGAUUUAUUGGGUUUAAAGGGUGCGUAGGCGGACUGUUAAGUCAGCGGUAAAAGCCCGGGGCUCAACCCCGGCGAGCCGUUGAAACUGGCUGUCUUGAGAUGUCGAGAGGUAUGCGGAAUGCGCAGUGUAGCGGUGAAAUGCUUAGAUAUUGCGCAGAACUCCGAUUGCGAAGGCAGCAUACCGGCGGCGAUCUGACGCUGAGGCACGAAAGCGUGGGUAUCGAACAGGAUUAGAUACCCGAGUAGUC
rnacentral:rRNA from 1 species